GACAGAGGAGCCAAGCGUUGUCCGGAUGGACUGGGCGGAAAGCGCACGCAGGCGGUCGCGCGCGGGGGGGGGGAAAACUGGCGGCUUAACUGCCAGAGGCCAUCCCAUACGGCGCAACUCGAGCCAUGCAGAGGUCCACGGAAUUGCCGGUGUAGUGGUGAAAUGCGUAGAGAUCGGCAGGAACACCCAGGGGGAAACCAGUGGACUGGGCAUGUGCUGACGCUCAGGUGCGAAAGCGUGGGGAGCGAACCGG
rnacentral:rRNA from 1 species